rnacentral:rRNA from 1 species
UACGGAGGUGGCAAGCGUUGUUCGGAAUUACUGGGCGUAAAGGGCGCGUAGGCGGCAGGGCAAGUCAGGUGUGAAAGCCCCGGGCUCAACUCGGGAACUGCAUCUGAAACUGCUUUGCUUGAGUCCUGGAGGGGGUAGUGGAAUUCCCAGUGUAGCGGUGAAAUGCGUAGAUAUUGGGAGGAACACCGGUGGCGAAGGCGGCAUCCUGGACCAUUACUGACACUGAAAAGCGAAAGCCAGGGGAGCAAACGGG